rnacentral:rRNA from 1 species
UACGUAGGGUGCAAGCGUUGUCCGGAAUUAUUGGGCGUAAAGAGCUCGUAGGCGGUUUGUCGCGUCUGCUGUGAAACUCCCGAGGCUCAACCUCGGGCCUUGCAGUGGGUACGGGCAGACUAGAGUGGCGGUAGGGGAGACUGGAAGUUCCUGGGUGAUAGCGGUGAAAUGACGCAGAUAUCAGGAGGGAACACCGGUGGCGAAGGCGGGGUCGUCUGGGCCGGUAACUGACGCUGAGGAGCGAAAGCGUGGGGGAGCGAACAGG